rnacentral:rRNA from 1 species
UAUCCUACGGGGGGCAGCAGUGGGGAAUAUUGCACAAUGGGGGGAACCCUGAUGCAGCGACGCCGCGUGGGUGAAGGAGCACCUCGGUGCGUAAAGCCCUAUCGGCAGGGAAGAAAAGCGAACAGGUUCGCCUGGACGGUACCUGACUAAGAAGCCCCGGCUAACUACGUGCCAGCAGCCGCGGUAAUACGUAGGGGGCGAGCGUUAUCCGGAUUUACUGGGUGUAAAGGGAGCGUAGGCGGCGAUGCAAGUCAGAAGUGAAAGCCCGGGGCUCACCUCCGGGACUGCUUU